rnacentral:rRNA from 1 species
UACAGAGGGGGCAAGCGUUGUUCGGAAUUACUGGGCGUAAAGGGCGCGUAGGCAGUCUGUCGCGUCGAAUGUGAAAACCCGGGGCUCAACCCCGGGCCUGCAUUCGAUACGGGCAGACUAGAGUUCGGUAGGGGAGUCUGGAAUUCCUGGUGUGAGCGGUGAAAUGCGCAGAUAUCAGGAGGAACACCGGUGGCGAAGGCGGGACUCUGGGCCGAUACUGACGCUGGAGGAGCGAAAGCGUGGGGAGCGAACAGG